rnacentral:rRNA from 1 species
CAGUAGCCGCGGUAAUACGAAGGGGGCUAGCGUUGUUCGGAAUUACUGGGCGUAAAGCGCACGUAGGCGGAUACUUAAGUCAGGGGUGAAAUCCCGGGGCUCAACCCCGGAACUGCCUUUGAUACUGGGUAUCUCGAGUCCGGAAGAGGUGAGUGGAAUUCCGAGUGUAGAGGUGAAAUUCGUAGAUAUUCGGAGGAACACCAGUGGCGAAGGCGGCUCACUGGUCCGGUACUGACGCUGAGGUGCGAAAGCGUGGGGAGCAAACAGGAUUAGAUACCCGAGUAGUCCCUGUCUCUUAUAC